UAUGACACAGAGAAUUUAAAGAGUCAACUGUCUCAGUGCUGAGGGGGAAACAGCAUGAAAUGUUGAGGACAGCUACAGCUGACUGACUCUGUGUGUUUGCAUAUGUGUCCUGCCUCUCUGCUCCCAGCCGUUAAGAGGCCAGUGUUGAUCAGUGUGUGUCCAGGCCUUUCAGAGCCACUGACACGCCAGCAGCACAAUGAUGAUGUCUCUGACUCUACUGCUGGCCACCCUGGGGCUCCUUGUUCAGGGUUCAUCAGCAGAUAUCACUGUGUCUCAGUCUCCUGAAUCUCAGUCUGUCGUUCCAGGUCAGACUGUCUCUAUCAGAUGUAAAGCCAGUUCAGGUGUUAGCAAUCACAUUCACUGGUACCUUCUGAAACCUGGAGAAGCUCCUAAACGCCUGAUUUACUGGGCAACAACUCGUGAGUCUGGAGUUUCAGAUCGUUUCAGUGGCAGUUAUUCUGGAACUGACUUCACUCUGACCAUCAGUAGAGUCCAGACUGAAGAUUCAGGAGUUUAUUACUGUCAGCAGAGUAACAGCCUCCCGUUCACACAGUGAUACAACGUCGUACAAAAACCUCCCUCAGCUGCAGAGGAACUGAUCUGAAUCAACAGCUGCUCUCAAACUAAAACACUAGAAGUCAAACUUCCCUGUGCAGCAACUUUACUUUUUUUUUUUUAAUUGAGAAAACAAAUAUUUUACUGGUUCAAACUACACAGAGUCAGGAUGGACAUUUAACCAAAAUGUACUUUUUGACAGAAACAGAAACUUAAGUGUUAUUACAAACUCAACGCUCAAAAUCAAAGAUACUUCAACUGAAUUUGAUAAUAAAGCCAGUGUUAUAGUCAAAAUUCAAAUCCUGAGAAUGUCCAAGAUACUAACGUUCCAUCAAAUGUUCUAAAAAGAAAAUCAAUCAGUUUAAUUAAAUCAAAUUUAAUUAUUUUAUAAGUUUAAUUAGUGGGAUAUUUAACUGAAAGAAACUCUGUAUUUUCUGGUCAAACAUACAGUUUGUAUUUAGUGAAACAGUUUUCUGACCACAAUGUGAAUAAUACGUCAGUGAUUCAACAUUUUUGAUCAAGUAUGAA